rnacentral:rRNA from 1 species
UACAGAGGUCUCAAGCGUUGUUCGGAUUCAUUGGGCGUAAAGGGUGUGUAGGUGGCGCCGUAAGUCGGGUGUGAAAUUUCGGAGCUUAACUCCGAAACUGCAUUCGAUACUGCGGUGCUUGAGGACUGGAGAGGAGACUGGAAUUCAUGGUGUAGCAGUGAAAUGCGCAGAUAUCAGGAGGAACACCGGUGGCGAAGGCGGGUCUCUGGGCCGAUAUUGACGCUGAGGAGCGAAAGCGUGGGGAGCGAACAGG